rnacentral:rRNA from 1 species
CAUGGCUGUCGUCAGCUCGUGUCGUGAGAUGUUGGGUUAAGUCCCGCAACGAGCGCAACCCUUAUUUUAAGUUGCCAGCGAGUAAAGUCGGGGACUCGUAGGAGACUGCCGGGGUCAAACCGGAGGAAGGUGGGGAUGACGUCAAGUCAUCAUGCCCUUUAUAUCCAGGGCUGCACACGUGCUACAAUGGCGUGGCACAAAGGGUAGCUAAUGCGCGAGGAGGAGCUAAUCC